UCGGAUAUGGUGUAACGGCUAACAUUGCCGCCUCUCAUAGUCUUUGUGUGACUCGUAAGAACGCGGCAGCUCGGGGUUCGAUUCCCCGUAUCCGAA